rnacentral:piRNA from 1 species
UAGCAAUACAUGGUGAGCUCCAGAGAGA